UCCUGCCCCAAGUUGAGGAGUUCAAGUAUCUUGGGGUGUUUUUCACGAAUCAGGGAAAGAAGGAGCAGGAGAUUGACAGGCUGUUUUGUCGGCGUCU